rnacentral:rRNA from 1 species
AGUGAACGCUGGCGGUAGGCCUAAUACAUGCAAGUCGAACGGCAGCAUAGUAAGCGUUUGCUUUUACGGGUGGCGAGUGGCGGAUGGGUGAGGAAUACAUCGGAAUCUACUUUUUCGUGGGGGAUAACGUAGGGAAACUUACGCUACUACCGCAUAUGACCUACGGGUGAAGGCAGUGGUUCUUCGGAGCUUGCCCGUUUGUUUUAGCUCGUGUCGGAUUAGCUUGUUUGCGUGGUAAAGGCCCACCAAGGCGACGAUCCGUAGCCGAGCUGAGAGGGUGAUCGGCCACACUGGAACUGAGACACGGUCCAGACUCCUACGGGAGGACGCAGUAGGGAAACUUUGGAAAUUGGGGAAAGCCUGACGGAGCAAAGCCGCGUGAGGGAAAAAGGUCCUCGGAUUGUAAAACCCUUUUAUUAGGGAAGAAAAAAUGUGUAAGUAACCACGCACGUCUUGAAGGUAACUAAAAAGAAAACCACGGCUAACUUCGUG